rnacentral:rRNA from 1 species
CCUACGGGGGGCUGCAGUGAGGAAUAUUGGUCAAUGGGCGAGAGCCUGAACCAGCCAAGUCGCGUGAGGGAGUACUGCCCUAUGGGUUGUAAACCUCUUUUGUCGGGGAGCAAAAGCCGGACGUGUCCGGCUGUGAGAGUACCCGAAGAAAAAGCAUCGGCUAACUCCGUGCCAGCAGCCGCGGUAAUACGGAGGAUGCGAGCGUUAUCCGGAUUUAUUGGGUUUAAAGGGUGCGCAGGCGGAUUUUUAAGUCAGCGGUAAAAUCGUGGGGCUCAACCCCAUCCAGCCGUUGAAACUGGGGAUCUAGAGUGUGCGAGAGGUAUGCGGAAUGCGUGGUGUAGCGGUGAAAUGCAUAGAUAUCACGCAGAACCCCGAUUGCGAAGGCAGCAUACCGGUGCACAACUGACGCUCAGGCACGAAAACGUGGGUAUCGAACAGGAUUAGAUACCCUGGUAGUC